AAAUUGAAGAGUUUGAUCAUGGCUCAGAUUGAACGCUGGCGGCAGGCCUAACACAUGCAAGUCGAACGGUAGCACAGAGAGCUUGCUCUCGGGUGACGAGUGGCGGACGGGUGAGUAAUGUCUGGGAAACUGCCUGAUGGAGGGGGAUAACUACUGGAAACGGUGGCUAAUACCGCAUAACGUCGCAAGACCAAAGAGGGGGACCUUCGGGCCUCUUGCCAUCAGAUGUGCCCAGAUGGGAUUAGCUAGUUGGUGAGGUAACGGCUCACCAAGGCGACGAUCCCUAGCUGGUCUGAGAGGAUGACCAGCCACACUGGAACUGAGACACGGUCCAGACUCCUACGGGAGGCAGCAGUGGGGAAUAUUGCACAAUGGGCGCAAGCCUGAUGCAGCCAUGCCGCGUGUAUGAAGAAGG
rnacentral:rRNA from 1 species